GUGCUCACUUUGGUGGCACCUACCCUGGAAUUGGAACGAUACUGAGAUUAGCAUGCCCCUGUGCAAGGAUGACACGCAAAUUUGUGAAACAUUCCAUACGUUA